rnacentral:rRNA from 1 species
AGCGAACGCUGGCGGCAGGCUUAACACAUGCAAGUCGAGCGGGCAUCCUUGUGGUGUCAGCGGCAGACGGGUGAGUAACGCGUGGGAACGUGCCCUUCGGUUCGGAAUAACUCAGGGAAACUUGAGCUAAUACCGGAUACGUGCGAGAGCAGAAAGGUUUAUCUGCCGAAGGAUCGGCCCGCGUCUGAUUAGCUAGUUGGUGAGGUUAUGGCUCACCAAGGCGACGAUCAGUAGCUGGGCUGAGAGGAUGAUCAGCCACACUGGGACUGAGACACGGCCCAGACUCCUACGGGAGGCAGCAGUGGGGAAUAUUGGACAAUGGGGGCAACCCUGAUCCAGCCAUGCCGCGUGAGUGAUGACGGCCUUAGGGUUGUAAAGCUCUUUUCUUCGGGACGAUAAUGACGGUACCGGAGGAAUAAGCCCCGGCUAACUUCGUG